CGGAUUAUCAGGUGGAAUCCUGGAGGAACAAUCAAUCACAACCUUCAAAACUACACGGAACCAACUUAGCCGGGGUGUUCUUAAUAGAGGUGGGGGAGAUUGGGUUCAAAUAACUCUUAAAGACUCUCAUCAGGUAGGUGUUGCAUUCACAAAGGGCCCUUGAUGCAGAGAAGUUGGUAUUUUACAUGCUGUGAUCUGCACACGGCAACUCAUUGUACCUAAUAGCGGAAAUUGAACUCCCAACAAAACCAGGAAGAGGAGGCGAAUGAG
rnacentral:misc_RNA from 1 species